AGAGUUUGAUCAUGGCUCAGGAUGAACGCUGGCGGUAUGCCUAACACAUGCAAGUCGUACGAGAGUUUUUAACUCUAGUGGCGGACGNGUGAGUAACACGUAAGAAUUUACCUUCAGGAGGGGGAUAACAAUUGGAAACAAAUGCUAAUACCCCAUAUGCUUUCGAGUGAAAUGGAUUUAUAUUUAUCCGCCUAAAGAGGAAGCUUGCGUCUGAUUAGCUUGUUGGUAAGGUAAAAGCUUACCAAGNCGACGAUCAGUAUCUGGUUUGAGAGGACGAUCAGACACACUGGAACU
rnacentral:rRNA from 1 species